CCAAGCUUGUCUGCCACUGAGUU
rnacentral:snRNA from 1 species